AGAGGGGAAACUGUAAUCAGGAUACAUUGCAUGAGAAAAGAAUUUUUUCAAUAAAGGUAAGAAAAGAAUUACGUUGAAUGGAUAAUUAACUAAACAAAGAUGACUACUUGUCCUAGUUAGAAUUUAUAUUGUUGCAAUGAAACACCCUGGCCAAAAAGCAAGUUGGGGAGGAAAGGGUGGGUUUAUAUGGCUUACAGUUUCACAUUGCUGCUCAGGAAGUCAGGAUAGGAUCGAACAGGGCAGGAAUGUGGAAGCAGCAGCUGAUGCAGAGGCCAUGGCCAUGGAGAGAUUCUGAUUAUUGGGCUUACUCCCUAUGGCUUGCUGAGCCUACUUUCUUAUAGAACUCAGGAACAUCAGCCCAGGCAUGGUACCACCCAAUGAGCUAGGCUCUUCUCAUCAAUCACUAAUUAAGAAAAUGCUUUACAGGCCCAAUCUUGAGGUAUAUGAGGUACUUGCCAAUUGGGGUUCCCUCCUCAGAUGAUUAUGGUUCGUGAUAGGUUGAGAUAAAUCUAGCCAGCACACUACUGAAUAAUUAGUAACAAUUUGGUAAUAAGAAGGGAUUAAUCAUUAAGUAAAGACACUGCCUCAGAGCACAAGAAUAGUAGAUGUGGUGAACACAUGUUUCCAAUAGCUGAGUCUACGUAGCCAUGGUAGAAGGAAAACUCAGUGGCCCACCUUGAGGUUUGCAACUGCAACAGUGUAGAGUAUGGUUCACUUAGUGAACUACAGGUAAGAGGUGCUACAGAUAAAGCAGAGAUGGGUACAAGGGGCCAGGGUACCAGUGAAGGAGCUGGGACUCUGCCCUCUGGGAUAUGGGUACACCUCACAGGAACAUUUCCCUUUAUGGUGUUCAGGAGCCUGUUAGUGAAGCUAGCAAAACUAGCAAGAACAUGAAUACUCCUGGAAGUUCUGCUGUUUGUAAAAGAGUUGCUUCAGUAAAACCAUAUAGGGAAAUCGGUCUCUCCCUCUCUGUCACAUCUCUCUCCCACCCUCUUCUGAGAAGGGAAAUGUGUAUUGGCACCUGAUGACAAAGGAAAUGUGUAUUAUUACAUCAGAAUCUUCCAUCACCAAGCAAGAUCAAAGCAGACUAGGAGACACUUACUAGCAAUAAGCAGACAACUGGUUAAGAUGGUCAUAAUAUUGAAGGAAUAAUAAUAAUAAUAAUAAUAAUAAUAAUAAUAUUGUUAGGAGACAUUUCAGAAGUGGUUAAAUGGUUAUUGGUGUAACCCAGCCUAGUAUGUUGAGUUUAUCUGAAGGUGUAUCUCCAAAUGCCCCACAAAAUAGGAAACAGUUUUUUGGAGAACAUCUUCAAACAAUGCACAUGGCAGGUACUUUAUAGGCAAGUAUGAAUUGAUACUACAUGUCCAAGAUGAAUGUUCUAUUAAGUCAAGAAUUGCAGUUGUCAGCAAGCCAGGUCUCCCUACCCCAAGUGUCCCCCAGGGUGGAGGAGGGUGCCUCAGGGAAAGGCCUUUCAAAUCAUGUUGGGCUAUUUCUGAGGGCCUUGAAAAAAUAGAAACUCUUCCUUGUAGGUAUAUCUGACUUAAGAUUCUUUUGGUUGCAAGGAAUAAAUGAUAAGUACCGGUAGUUUCAGAAAUAAGGAUUAAGGUCGUUAAUAAUCUCAUGCAACAAGCUAUCUGGAGGAGGCUCAUUCAUAACUUUAAAGUCUCAUAUGCCCUCACAUCUUUCAGAUCUGUCAUGCUUACAAUACUGGCUUUUUGCUUCAUGGUUGGAAGAUAGGACUUCUUAUUUUAGACAUCAUUUUACCAUUUAGACAAGAAAAAGACAGAACUGUAUUCCGCAUCUGCAUUCAGUGGCUAUUAGGUGUGAAGCUAUUUGACAAUAUCUUUGGAAACAUCGGAUGUACAGAAUUAUCAGGCUAUAUAAUUUAAUUUUCAGUGUAGAAAUAUAUCAUCUUGGCUCUCCUGCAAGCUCUAUGGAUCUGAAUAUGAGGCUCUUGAGACUCCAAUUCCACCUCAUGGUAUGCCUCCCUCUGUGCAAACAGAACAGGGUUAGUCUUCAAGACUACACACCUACCAAAAUUAUUCUUCCCCAGCCUGCUUAGUAUAUACUCCUGGAAUUAUCCUAUUUACUUGUAGUUACUAUAUAGUGUAUGUGUGAGUAAUAUUUUAUGUAGUAGUGUUUUGUGCCAUAAAAAUCCUUUAAAAUAAAUUUCUAUUAGUAAAGAUUUUAUUCUUUUUCAGCUUGCCCCCCCCCCCCAGAUCAAUAAAAUGUCAAAUGAAAUGAGGCUGCCUUUUAAAGGGAUAUUCUCUGUGCUGCUAGUCUGGUUUCCAUUUGAUAUGAGCAUUUAAAUGUUGGCUGAAUGAAAAAGAAUGUUUUAGUAAUGGUUAGAUAGUUUCUCAUUGUCUAGCGUGUGCCUUUACUGAGGUUGUUCCAUACCUUCCUUGCUGUUUUGGAUCAAAUUUGAGAAUGGAAAAAUUAUUUAAGUAGAAAAUUUCAGUGUGCUUGCAAAAAUUCAAUGAAAGUGAACUAACCUAGUGUUUGAAAAUUUUGUAUUGCUAACUUUCUGUUAUUACUAGCAAAUAAAUUUCUUUAUUCAUCUUCUAGCUCCUCUGACUUUUUAAUAUUUAUAAAGUAGAAUUCUCUUUAACUUCUUUAGAGAGGGAAACUGUCUUUUAUAUAUAAAGUUAUUUAGAUUUUUUUGCCUAUAAUGUUUUUCUGAGAUGGUGUUUUCUUGAAGGAAAAUAUUUUCAGUUUCAAAGGCUGAAAACAAAUCCACAAGAACUCACUAAACUCAGAAAGAGUUUAGCUUCCUAAGCAGACUGUGCAAAGAUAGGAAUCAGCAGCCGGAUUCACAGCCUCUGAUUGUCCCAAAUCACACAAGUCAUCAACUGAGUACUCAGAAAAGGAAAACAAGCCAUUUUCAGCUAAAGGAUAUGAGCAUAAUGUGUACCAUAAACUCACGGUGGAUGUUUUAGAACCAAGCAUGUUUGUGACUUAAUUUGAAUUUCUCAGUGCAACACAUCUCAAAAAUUCCUUAAACAUCAUAGAUGAUCUAUUAUGUACAAAACAUGACUGUUGAGAAACACCAUUUCCUUGCCUUCUGGGAGGAACCUUAGGAAACAUCGGCAGCAGGUGCAAAGUAUUCCAGAGAGAGGACUGGCUAUAAAGAACAUAUUUAUCCAUCAGUUCCAAAUCUUUCUGCUUCUGAGGGCUUAAAAAAAGAGAUUUCUUGAGCUGAGGAAAUUAAAAACAAAACAAACAACCAUCCUAAGGUGGUGGAAGAGGACGAGGAAAUGCUCUGUGAUAUUGUGAAAUCUGGACUUGAAAUUUGUUCUCAUUUCCUUAUGCACAGCUUCUAACACCCUUGGUUUCAGAGUAAGGAGCAUUUUUUUCAUAUUAAUGAAGUGACUUGUAGCUGGAAGCCAUUAGAUAGCUUCAGGACAAGUAGUGGUUCCAAAAGAGUAAAGAAUGAUCAGAUUUUUUAGUUCUACCUCUUAGUCCUUGAAAAGCAAAGAGAGACUGCACCAGGACUAGUAAUACAGUUAACUUGCCUUUGAAAUGAAGCCUCCACAGGUAAGACCCCCACCCUCCAUCAGUGGUACUUACUCUGAGACACCUAUGAAUGAGGCACCAAGACACAGGUCGACGCAAAAGCAAGAGGUUUAUUUUCUGGGCACAUCAGUGUCGACCCUCAAUCAGUCCCUGGAGGUGAGUGACUAGAAGGUGACCCCAAAUGGCUAUUACAAGCAGUUUUUAUACUUUUUAGGGGCACAGAUUACCUCAGCAAGGUUAGAGUUCAAACUUAUUGGGUAAGCAUAUUAACCUUUAAAUCUACCGACUAGCAAGCACCAGUCAGUACAUUCUGAGAAUUUUCUACCCAAGAAUGUUCCUGUGGGUGGAAAAUGGAACUUGGCCUAGCCUCAAUCCCAGGUGGGAAGCUGGAACCUGGCCUAGUCUUGCCCUGAGGUGGGUGGGUGUAAGGCUGGUGAAAGCCCCUAGGGUCCUUCACACAAACACUCAAAAUGCACAGGGAUCAAAAGAAUGACUGAACAUGUGGAGAGUGGCAACCCAGAAACUCUGAGAGCCUACCCACUCACCUUGCCUUUAUGCAACUUUUUCUUGUGGUCAUUCACCCAACUUUUUUUGUAAUAUUUUAGAAUUUGGUUUUGGGGAGUCAUAGAAAAUUGAGUUUGGGGGUUGGGGAUUUAGCUCAGUGGUAGAGCACUUGCCUAGCAAGCGCAAGGCCCUGGGUUCGGUCCCCAGCUCCGGAAAAAAAAAAGAAAAUUGAGUUUGAUAUGCCAUUAUCAUUGAACAUUUUUGAUGCUCAAUGUGCUUGUGAAUGUUCUUGUAUUUGUCAAGGCUCGGUUGUAGAGACAAUUGGAGACAUUUGGCUGAUCUAAGAAGAAGCUAGUUGCUUGUGAGACUCACUGGGGCAUGUAUGCUUCCUGGAUAAAUUCUUAGUGUAUCAGUUGGGAGCCUGUCCACCAAAGGUCUGUGGACCAAGGUCUGUGCUCCUUCUGCAACCUCCAGGAAGCUGGAGUCAGGAAGGCACUGUUUCAGAUUCUUGAUUCCAGCACUCCACUGCCCUAAGUAUGCCGUAGAGUAAUAAGCCAUCCCCAUUGGGGAUGACUCCUGUCAUACUCCACUUCCUGUAUCUACUCCAGUGAAACAGACGUCUUAGCACCCUGCUUUUUAUUUGUUAAUUACUGCUGUGCCCAUCUCCCAAAUACUUACUAAAACAAAUAAUGAUGCAGUAUCCUUGAAGGGGAUGAGAGCAAUGCAGGAAUGUUGUCUAAGUAGUGGGAGUAGAGAUCAUAGAAUGGAUCAAGAUGACCUUCCUGGAGAGGUAAUGCCUAUGUGAUGACUUGUAAAAGGUAAGAAGAUAAGCUUGUAGGAAUUUAGGGGAGCAGCCUCCAACAGCAAGAACAGAACAUGCAAAGACUCUGAGGCAGAACUUGUAUUGAAUGACCAAAUGAUGGUACAGGAAUGGGUAGCACUGAUGAACUCUCUGCUAGAGAUUCAUACUUAUUCCAAAGAAGAAAUGUUUAAAGUAAUCCCUUGCUUGGUUUGCUAUACAAAAUGUAUUUUGAAUUAUGAUAGUCAACAGUUUUUGUAGCAUUCAAACUAAUAUAUGCUUCUUGAAAGACAAAGAGAAAUCUCCUAAUAGUGCCAUAUUUGAAGCUACUAUGUAGUAAAAUAAUAUUCUUGCUACUAACAAUGCGACUAUCUGGGUUAGUGUGUUAGCUUUUCUUUUUAAAAAGGUCAACAUAAAAAUUAAAAAUGCAUAUGUCUGAUUUCUGGAUGGAGUAAAAGUAAUAUUUUUUAAAUUAAUUUUCGAGAAUUUCAUGCACCACAUUUUGAAUCCAAUCACCCAAAUUCCUCCCAUUACCACCUUCACCUUCUUAUCACAUUUCUUCCCUCACUUUCUGCAUGUACAUUUGACACUCCAUCACCCAAACUUGGGAUCUAUUUCUCCCCUUGCCUUCUGUCUUAGGGUUUCAUUGCUGUGAAGAGACACCAUGAUCAAAGCAACUCCUAUAAAGGCAAACAUUUAAUUAGGGCUGGCUUACAGUUGCAGAAGUUCAGUUCAUUAUCAUCAUGGUGGGAAGAUUGGCAGUAUCCAGCAGACAUAGUGCUGGAGGAGCCAAGAGUUCUACAUCCAAAGGCAACAGUAGAAAACUCCUGUGGGCAACUGGAAGAGGGUCUCAUCCACACUCUCAUCCGCACUGGGUAGUGCUUGAGUAUAGGACCUCCCCAACCCCCACAGUGACCCAUUUCCUCCAACAAGGCCACACCUAUUCUAAGAAGGCCAUACUUCCUAAUGGUGCCACUGUCUGUGGACCAAGUAUUCAAACACAUGAGUCUAUGGGGGCCAUACCUAUUGAAACCACUAUACCUUGCAUCUGAGAGAGCAUAACAAGCAUUUCAGAGCCCUAUAAGGCCUCUAGGAGUGUGUUUAAAGAAAGACCAAGUACAAUGAGAUCACUAUGAUGUAAGGAAAUGCUAGUCAUCUAUAUAGUAAGACCAUAAGAAGAAAGAGUGAUGACACUGAAGAGGCCAUCUUGGACUGAAGAACUCCACUGCUGUUGUAUGGACAAGAGUCAGGAAUACUGAGGCAAAGCCCCUCAUUCAUCUUCAACCAUUUAGGAAAUCUCAGAUGAAGUCCCAGGUUUUGUGGUGAACUUAGAAGCAUUUCCUCCAACAAAAUUUCUUACAUAAUGAAGUAAGAGAAAAACAGAUUAAUUUAUCAAUGCAGCUAUGUUGAAGAGCAUCACACAACUACGUUCACAAUCUAUUUACAUUGCAGAAAUCAGGAAAAAUUUAAAUAUUAUUUUUCACUUUAACAACAGUAACAAUGAUGAUUAUAAUAAUGGCAAUGAGAGUAGUGAUUUACUGAUAAUCUUGGAGAGCCAGGGCUCUUCCACUGCUAAAUCCACUGUUUUAUGUGUUUGAAUCUCAUAUGGUAAUGCAGAUAAACCUGGAUAUUUUUCAUAUGGUUGUUUGAACUCAUCCAACCAAAAUUCAUUUUCUCCCCCUGCCUUUUUCUAGUACUAACAUGUUUGAAGGGCUUGCAUAGAAGGUCAAGAGUAGUGGACUUUUAUGAUGAGAGGCCACUGAUAUGGUUGGAGAUAUGAUCAUUUUGUCUUCUGGGGAAGCAAUACCUUAUAGUGGCCUUUCUGUAAUGGUCUUUCCACUACAGGGGUAAAGUUGAGAUGCAAUAAAUAAAAAGAGUUGACCAACUCAUUACAGGUGGGUCAGUAUUGCAAAACUUUAUUUAGCAUAGUUUGGUAGAUGGGGCUUUUCUCUAAUUUUUGAUUCAUAUAGUUCCAGAAAAGCAUCAUGGGUUGUCCCAAAUUAUAGGAAUAAUCUGGUCCAUUAUGUAAAAUUUUAUUUCCCUUACUAUUAUUCUAAGAGAUAACUUUAUUUACAAUUUUAUUUGGAGAAAAAAAAGUGAGGACACAAUGUUUUUGCAUUUACUAAUUGUGGGGAAGGGAUGAGGAGGGCAACCUGUCCCCAGGUUCUUGUUUGUUGGAUGCUCGGCGGCAGAUGUGAUUAUAAAGUCUUACCUUGCCACAGAAGAAUAAGAUAAUACUGCCUUCAUUCCCAGAUGAAACCAGAAGGGGGAAGCCGGUCGAGGCUUCGGGUUUUUGGGAGAGAACUGUGACUAUAAAGUUGGCUUGAGGUGGCUGGAGGCUCUGUUCCUUACAUCACCACACUGCUCUCAUCUGUUGUAAUGAAAAAGGGCCAGGAUUUGUAGCCUUCAGGAGAUCCUUUCAAGCUACAACCUACCUCCCUAGAAAAUGAAACUGUGAUAGUUUCUCUUGUCUGGUUCAUGGGCAUGUGAAUUAAUUUAUGUUCGAUUGUGAAUUUUUCUAACUGCUAAGUACAUUUACACAGUGCGUGUUCUGCAUGCCAGACACUUAUCUAAGUACUGUCUUCAGACUAAUUCAUUUACUCAUUAGGAAAACCAUGAGUUAAUUUUCUGGAUUCAACUAUAUGAAUGCAGGCACUGGUACUAUGUUUUAAUGCAAAAUGGGGAGUUACAGCUGGUAUCUACCUCCAUUUUGGAAAUCAAAGGUUCCCCAUGAUUCUUAGGAAGCAAAUAAUUUGGACCUUGUAAACCAAGGUGUCAGAAUAAUAAAUACAGACAAGGAAACUGACAACAUAGAAGUUUUGUAAGUUAUCUAAGAUCAUCAUCAGCCCUGAAAGGCUAAGAAUGUGGCUUAGAAUGAGAAAAACACUUGGAUUUAAACACCAGCACAUAUACAUUUCACACACUUGGAACGCUAGUUUUUUUUUUUAAACAAGGUGGAUGUUUUUUUUCUUUUUUAAGAUUUAUUUAUGUUUUAUACAUGUGAAUACACUGUCACUGUCUUCAGACACAGCAGAAGAGGACAUCAGAUCCCAUUACAGAUGAUUGUGAGCCACCUUGUGGCUGCUGGGAAUUGAACUCAGGACUUCUGAAAGAGCAGUCAGUGCUCUUAACCACUGAGCCAUCUCUCCAGCCGAGAACUUUUAAUUAGUGAACUGAUAUUGGUAAUUGUUGCCAAUACUGAUUUAGAUAAUCACUUUUAUAUUUAGAAAUUUGCUUUAUGGAAGACUUUUUUGGGCAGUAAGUGAAAGUAGACUUUGGCUUUUCUUUCUAGAAAGAAAAUAUUACAUACAAUAUGUAUAAUAAUACAUUGUUUAUUCUCAAGUGGAUGCUAUCUUAUCUCAGUUUUCUGAGGGGAAAAUCUGAGAAUUGGGAAGGCGUGGGUACACUGGGUUAGUAAAUGGAAGACUCACUCCUAGACUUGAGGUCUGUCUGCUGGUUCCUACCUAGGGGCUGAAGAUUUCAUUUUACUAGUUAGUGGCUUUUGUUGCAUCCUAAUACUAGUAAAUUCUUUUGGGAAUAAACACCUCUCUGCUUUAAGCCCACAGAUUAGCGUUUUACAACCUGUUGGUUGUGACGUCUUUGGGGGUUGAGUGACCUCUUCAGAGGGGUUCCAUCUCAGAUAUCCUGUAAUAAGAUGUUUACAUUAUGAUUCAUAACAGUAGCAAAUUAUAGUUAUGAAGUAGCAACAGAAAUAAUUUUACGGUUGGGUUCACUACAUCAUGAGAUACUUUAUUAAAGGGUCACAGCUUUAGGAAGGUGGAGAAACACUGUUCUAGAGAUGAGUUCCAAAGAAACUGGGUCGUGUCAAUUGCGAAGUCCUGGCCCCUUUAGAGUGGCUUUACAACACACCCAAGGCUGCAUUACUCUGAUGACUUGUUCAAGUAUCAGCUAUUGAGAUGAAGUAGUUGACCAAGCCAACUCAGUCAGUCAACAGCUUCUCCAGGGAGGAAAUGAGGAUUAACAAGAAGAAAAUGAUCAGACAACACUAUGGCAUUACCCCAGACAGUUCAGAAGCUGAAGCAGGUUGAUUUUUUUCCCAGUCUGCUUUUAUACCAUUUUAAGUACAUGCAAAGAUUAAGGUCAGUUCUAGGUUAAGAAACAAAUGAGUCAAUAAACACAAAUAGACAAGGAACAAACAAGGCAGUUAACAAAGUCUCAUGAUCACUGCUUCUAGGGGCUUAUGAGGAUGACCAAGAUAUCUGAGCCCACUUCCCUGUCCUAGCCCAAAAUCAAAUUCUUGCCUGAAGCCUACUUCUUUGUUUUAGGCCAAAGUCAGAUUCCUGCCUGAACUUACUUUUGUGUUCUGCCCCAAUGUCAAAUUUUUGCCAAGUUUCUAGAAGUGGCCCCAAAAGCUCUCCACAAGUAAUUCACUUCUGAAAUACAGUACAGCACGAGGAACCUCUGGUUCUUAAUGUAGAGGUGAAGAAUGUAAGCAGUAAGUCCCCACAUUUCUAUCAAGAUAGAUUAUUAGUGUCUGCAUUCAUGUAGCUGAAUCUAUUACACUGCAGGGAAUUUUCUCAAAUUUUCUUCAUCUCAAAAGUCAAAGUUUCCAAGUGGGAAACCAAAUUGACUUUCAUGUAAUUUUCUCAGUUCAUUUAUGCCAAGGAAACUCGUACUAUGUGAAGUUUUCUGAGUGUAGCUCACAGGCAAAUGACUCCUUUACUUUAAAUAGCAGGAAACAUCAGGGAAUUAGUUCUUAUCUGAUAAUAGUUCACAGAACUACAUUUUGUAGAGUAGUUCUAAUUUCAGGGUAAGUGACAGUUCUGUUCUCCAAUAGAGAAAAUCCUUUGCUGCUGGUCUGAAUUUGGUCUUGAUGAAGGGUGCAGUGUGCUCAUUGUUUUAAUUGCGUGAUGCGCAUUCCGUUUUACUUCUGUUUGUCUUUAUAGAAUUCAGUAAAUGCAUUUAAACAGGGAGAUGAUUCAGACAAGGAUGACUGAUUGACUCCUAUCACUGACUAUUGGUCUAGUUAUUAACCCGGCAGGCUGACAGAACCCCACUUUUCAAAAGCACAAUCAUCAGGUGGAAGAAAUACAGACACUGUGCCAUAGAUCCAUUUCCCUUUAGAAACAACUUCACCUUCAGAGUGAAUGGCCAGUAAGAACAAGUCCCGGACCAAGGUGAUGUAACAUGGCUGCCAGUGAAAUCAGAUUUGCCUUAACCAGAUCGUACUGCAGAAAGGUUAUCAAAACAAGAGACAAAAGCUAUGUCCCAUUACACCACAGCUUUAGAGAGUGGCUCAGAGCAACUUUCCUUACUACAGCAUAACUCUGUGCAUUUGAUGUAAAAGUGGAUUAAUGAACUAUGGUCUUUCUUCAAAUACCAGUGCCAUGGUUAUCUGGAUUCUUAUUCUGUACAGAAAAUUCUCACAACGCUGGCAGCUGGCUAUGGUGGCACAUGUCUGUAAUGGCAGGGGACGCAGAAUGAAUUCAAGGGCUGGACUGCAUAGAGACAUCAGUCUCCAAAAUACAGCACAACAAAAUGAGGGACAUUGAUAGCUGAGACAUAAAAUGAGAAACACAGUUCUUCUGGAGAGUCUAAAGCUUUUUCUGAUAAAGCUGAUGCAGGUGAGUUAGAAAUGGUGUCCAGACAGAAGAAAAAGGUCUUCAAAUCUUUCCCAACAGAGACCAGGAGAUAGCUCUGUGCAUAAGUGCACUCAAGUACGAAGGCCUGAGUUCAAAUCCCCAGUACCACAUCAAAAGUCUAGUGUGGCUGUAAAUGUCUGAAACCCCAGGGCUGUGGAAGUGGAGGCAGUAGGGUUUCUGGGGCUGGCCUAGGGGUGUAGGCAACCACACCUGCUCGGGAUUCAGUGAGAGACGUGUCUCAACAGUUUGAUGUACAGAGUCAUAAAGGCAUACUUGACAUUGUCUUGCUGGCCUCUCAUGCACUGGGAUACAGGUACAUAUACCGCUUAUAUAGCCCCAUACCCCACAAGUAAAAAAGUUAAAUAAAACAAAUCUUCCCAAACAAGCAAA